GCUGCCUGCCCUGGACAGCUCCUGUGGUGGCAUCCCCCGUGCCCACACGCUGCCGCCCUGGAGAGCGCCUGCGCUCGUGGUGGCAUCCCCCGUGCCCGCACGCUGCCCGCGCCCUGGAGAGGCGCCCUGGACAGCUCCUGUGGUGGCAUCCCCCGUGCCCGCAUGCUGCCCGCGCCCUGGAAAGGCGCCCUGGACAGCUCCUGUGGUGGCAUUCCCAGUGCUGCUUGUGCUCCUGUUUCAUGUCAGCUUUACACACUGUUGAAAAACCUGAAGAUAUUGGCCUUUUUCAAAACAUUUUUUAGAGCAUGUGUGAGGUGCUCUUGGCUGUGAAGCUGUGGGGUGUGUGCAGAGAGCCUGGGGCCCGGGGUUCCUGGAGGAGCAUCUUGGAGAGCCCUGCACAAUAGGACCCUGCCCGUGUGCUCUGAGCUGAUGUGCCAGCCGUGCGAAAGUGCUCUGACACCAUGGGCAUGGGCCGUAAGGAGGGCCUCCAGGGUGGAUGUUGAAGGCAGGAGACAGCUGUGCUGGGAUCCUCUGCAGGCCGUGGAGGGCAUGUCCUGUGAUGUGUCUGCCCUCACUGCUCCUCCUCUGGUGGUGCUGCUUCUGCGUAAGGACCUUUGCUGCAGUGCCAUGUUUGCAUGUUCUUUGCUUUUGUAGCUUUGGAUCUUCAGUUUGAUGGAUGGACACCAUUAUCGUCGUGUGGCACGGGUUGACCUAAGGAAGAAGACAGAGACGUUCUCCACAAGAAGGGUUAAGUCUGGGCUGUG
rnacentral:sRNA from 1 species